GUGAAGCCGGAGGACCACUAGCUUCCGUCCUCCUCUGGCUACAUUGACGUCAAUACAAAACCUAGAAAGCUCGUAGGCCUCACCCCCUUCCAUAGACAUACAUGGUGAUUAUGAUCACUUGCGGGGGACGUCCUCCAACCAAUCAAAGCUUUGCAGUAUGAACUGACAUGUUGUCCAUCCAAUCAUAGAAUUAAGAUCAGAGAACGAACCAAGUGAGUUGUAUUGGGAUUGUGCCACAGAGCAUUAUGGAGGUUCUAUGUGUUGAGAGGCUUGGUGACAUUGUUGAAUAGAGAUUAUGAGUGAAGAGUGAUAGUUCAGCAUUUUUUUGGGAUAUUAUUCAAUUCAAAUGCCUUUUUUCAAAUUACAGGAGACGGAGGAGGUAUAUUAUAAAUUGUUUUCUUGGUUUUAGAACUUUAUUUUUGCGUUCAGUUAGUGCAAUUUACUUACAUUUGCUUUGCAAACUUCAGUAGCUAGCUUACUACCAGCACGAGUGUGCAGUUUUCUCCGGCAGAAUGGUAGAAUGGCCUUUCUGUGGAGGAACUCCUUUCAUUCUCUGGGGUACACGGAAAAGGUGUGAAUUAAAAGCAAGGGUCGACCUCUGCCUGAGAACAGUUUCAUGAAGGCAGAUGAAAAAGGUGAGGGCGUUCAAUAAUAACUUGAACCAAAAGUAUAUCUGGUUAACAGUGAGCCUUUCAUCAGGCCACCUGUAUUGCUGGCCUUAUCUGCUUUUUGGAAAGUCUGAGCUUUGUUCGAAAGGUAGGUUCAGUGACCUGAAGAACAUCGAUCGUUCAGCUAAACAAAAAAACAAAAGCAGGGCAUGUAAGAAUUUGCUUUUAGGAAGACACGGCGAGAGGUAAAGUUCCGCCAACAAGGGCAGCUACAGAGCUUGAAGAGGUAACUGAACGUUAUGAAGCUUUCCUUGCUGAACAUAUGGAACUUGACUGUUUUUUCUGGGAUGUUGAAAACAAUUCCGAAUGAUUUGAUAGCUUCCAUUGCAUCAUCCAUCAAAAGUUAAUAUUAAAGAAAGGUUGACGCAGCGCAGUUUUUCGCAAGUGCUCAGCUAAGUCCCCUCCUGUUCCCUGAUUAAGAGGUGAUGACUACUCCACCCCACUACCAUUGUUAACUUUCUCAUGACAUCAACUGAAACCACGUCUCAUGUGCCCGCUCAUCCACUGGCUUUCCCCUCAAAGCACUUUUCUCUUCCCAGUCAAAUCCUGUCCUGCACUGGUCAAGCCUCUGAACACCUCAAUUUAUGCCUCAUACCCUCAUUCAGUCACUGCUGUGAUCCCUUUCCAACACUGUGUAAGUAGCCCUCGCAUUCCCAAUAAUAUUGUACUUUAACUGUCUUUAUUAAAUGCUUCAGGUUAAAGUACACGUUUUUGAAAUAAAGUUUGUAGUCUCUGUGCGUUCCACGCCUAUACUGUGGGUCUCCCAUCCUCCUCAAUUGUUCAAGUCACCAGCCUCCACUGCUAUGGACGCAACCCAGUCGUUCGAUCUAAAUGUUCCAUUGCCAUACUGACUGGCAACGUUCUUAUCCCUUGCUUGCUAGCUAGCAAACUAUGGCUAACUUAGUCACAUCAAACAGUGCAGCCAGAUUAACACCAAAGCAGCUGUAUUUGCUAAGCUGUUUUCUAGAGACAUUUGAAUACAUCCAAAACAAUGAGCUAAUGAUGUGCGAUUUCACCUGGCAUUGAACAUGUGCUCUCUCGUCAAGACACUUGUCCAGAGGAGCUAGUCAACAACACAGCUAACCACUUCAAACUGAAGCUGGAAAGACUGCAAACUAGCUGCAUUUCGUUUUGUUUUACCUGUUUUCUAUUGACAUUUCGUUGUAUAUAUCCCUAAAAAUGAUGCCAGUUGAUUCAUGAUUUCAACUGGCUGAGAAAAGCUGCCUGCCUGCCUGUCGGUCUCAUCCCGACUCGUUCAUUACUAUGGGACAUCUGACGAUCGAAUUUCAAUAUUGAAACAAUGUUGCAAAUGCCGGAGAGACAGAAAGCAAGGUUUAUACACUGUCUCCGCUGUUGAAAACCAAAUGCUAGUCUAAAUGUCGAUACUUUUUAAAGUGGAGAUCAAGUUUAUAAAUUGCCUUGCUGGGCUGAUGAGACUGUGGAUUGCGCAGUGAUAUGUAUAUGGAUAUGGAGUCAAUAGGCAUUUCAACAACAUAGCUUUAGCCAGUGGGAAUUUGUGGAAUAGACACUGGCUGGAAUGCAGUUUUAACCAAUCAGCAUCCAGAAAUAGACCCACCCGUUGUAUAAUUAAGCAAUAAGGCCCGAGGAGGUGUAGUAUAUGGCCAAUAUACCACGGCUAAGGGCUGUUCUUAUGCACAACACAACAUUCCUGAACCCAGCCGUUAGCCGUGGUAUAUUGGCCAUCUACCACAAACCCAGAGGUGCCUUAUUGCUAUUAUAAACUAGUUACCAAUGUGAUUAGAGCAGUAAAAAUACAUUUUUCUUCAUACUUAUGGUAGACGGUCUGAUAUACCACGGCUGUCUGCCAAUCAACAUUCAGUGCUCGAACCACCCAGUUUAUAAUGAUGCAUAUCCACUCAGACCAAAUACACGCUCCCUGUACUUUCCAAAGAUCUCCCAAGGGUCGUUCCAUGCAAUUUCAGCAAGCCAUGAAACCCACAAUCUCAAAUAGUUCUGAAAUCAUUUCUGUAGUUAGAAACAGAUAAGAUAAGCAUUUCUGCAACAUUCCUUUGCUGAAAAAUAUUUUUUUCUCUGAGAAAUGAAGCUAAUUGAUUGCACCCAAACUGGCCAUUUUAAUACAUAGGAUUCAUAUAUUAUUCAAUAAUUACAGUACUAACAUCUGAUUUGGACCAAACUUUUUUCUAACAAUGAGUAAGACAUUUUACAUUUAAGUCAUUUGGCAGAUGUUCUUACAGUAGGGAGUGCAUACACUUUCAUACCUUUUUCCCUGUGGGAAUCGAGUCCACAACCCUGGCGAUGCAAGCGCCAUGCUCUACCAACUGAGCAACACGGGACCACAUGAGGAACCCAAAGAAAUUGCAAAAACCCACACACAGACCUCCCCGUACCCCACACCAAACCGACCCCAACAAUGAGUAUAUAGUAGCAGUUCUCUGUGUUUGACAAGUAGUCCGGAGCAGUGGCCCUGAGUACUGUUUCUUCAUCCUAUCUAAUUCUUCCCCUGUUCAUAGAAAUUAAUAAUUGAAGUUAUGUUUAUGCCCCAUUCUACAUCCUCAUAUUACCAGGCAACUUCUGACCACUACAUGGUGCUGUUCCUGUUAUUAGGUGAUUGUUUUUAAAGAACCCCGCCCCAUGUUAAAGAGGUAGUUCACCCAAAUUACAAAAAAUACAAUUUUGUUUUCUUAUCCUGUAAGCAGUCUAUGGACGAGGUAUGACAGAAACCCACACUUUGGUUAUGUUUACCUGGCCACUGUUUCAAAUGCUAACUUUUUAGCAAUUGUGGCACAUCCAAUACAUUUACACCAUAGAUCCGUAUAUAAUGACGAGAUGCUCAUGUCUCCGCCCUAACAAUGGGAAUGGUUGUCCCAAAGGCAGGAAGGCAGGCGACAAGCUUAGAUCCCAAAUAAACCCAUAGAAACACAUUGGGAUUACUUUGGACAGAUGAUUUUGGCGAGUGAAAGCUCUCCCUGCCACUCAAACAACAAAUAUGAGAGAUCACUUCUUGGGCAAACAGUUUCAACUUGCCAUUUGCAUUUGAGGUUUGGUCCAACAGAAUCAGUCAUAUUGACACAGAAACACAUUGAGACAUUUUACUGUAAUAGAGAAGUUAACCUUUCUAACAAUAACCUUUAAUGUCUCAACUCCUCAAAUUACACGCAGAGCAGGAACCACUAAAACAUAAUGAACAGUGAUUCUGGAAAAUUGCUCAGUUUGUUGUGCGUACUGCUUGCAGCAUUUUAGCCAACGAUUGUUAUACUAGCUGUCUAGUCUGUGUUUUAUAAAAAUGUACAAUAAGCAUAAAACACAAUUAUAUAAGGAAUUGGUAACUCGUUCUCAUGCUAAGAAAUAAGGUUGGCCACUUGAUUUCAACAUCUGAACAAAGUGGACAGGCUAGCUGUUCAAACAGUCGGAGAUUGUUCUGCCUUGUUAGCUAGCCAAUAGAUCCAAGUUGGCUUAACUUGAAAAAUAAAGAUUAGCUGGCAACUCACUAGCACCGUAGGCUUGUGCUUGAGAGAUUGUUUAUGAGACCUGUGUUAAUUUUCUAUAAUGCCUACUACAAGAAGUUAUGCAUACUCCUCAUUCACAUACAACACCCAUUCUGCCGCCCACAUUCUGUUAAUUAAAGGUUCCCAAAGCACACACAUCCCUGGGUCCCUCUAUCUCCAUCUCUUCAUUCAAAGACUCAAUCUUACUGACAGUUGUGGCUGCUUCGCGUGAUGUAUUGUUGUCUCUAC